rnacentral:rRNA from 1 species
UGAAAUGGUGCGGCUCAACCGUAGCACUGCCCUUGAUACUGGUUGUCUUGAGUCAUAGUGAAGUGGCCGGAAUAUGUAGUGUAGCGGUGAAAUGCAUAGAUAUUACAUAGAACACCGAUUGCGAAGGCAGGUCACUAACUAUCGACUGACGCUGAUGGACGAAAGCGUGGGGAGCGAACGGGAUUAGAUACCCCGGUAGUCCACGCCGUAAACGAUGGAUACUAGCUGUCCGCUACCUUGAGUAGUGGGCGGCCCAGCGAAAGUGAUAAGUAUCCCACCUGGGGAGUACGUUCGCAAGAAUGAAACUCAAAGGAAUUGACGGGGGCCCGCACAAGCGGUGGAGCAUGUGGUUUAAUUCGAUGAUACGCGAGGAACCUUACCAGGGCUUAAAUGCAUAAUGACAGGUCUAGAGAUAGACUUUUCUUCGGACAUUUUGCAAGGUGCUGCAUGGUUGUCGUCAGCUCGUGCCGUGAGGUGUCAGGUUAAGUCCUAUAACGAGCGCAACCCCUGCCGUCAGUUGCCAGCAAGUAAAGUUGGGGACUCUGACGGGACUGCCGGUGCAAACCGCGAGGAAGGUGGGGACGACGUCAAAUCAUCACGGCCCUUACGUCCUGGGCUACACACGUGCUACAAUGG